ensembl:lncRNA
CAGCGCGCUAGCGGAUCUAGUCUGCUAUAUAUCUAUGGUCGGAACGUCUGGUAGCGUCUCUGGCUGCUUUUGACCCUGUUUUUGGAGUACAACACGGUGGAAGCUGAAUUAGUGAGGAUGACUCCUGCUCCUGUCAUCUCUAAGCUCCUCACACAUCUUUACCUGCACAUGAGGAAAAUCACUCCUGUAGAAUGCAGAUGUUCAGAGGGAGAUGAUGCCACAUCUGGUCCAGCUGAUGGAAGGUCUUGAAGUUCUCUGACUGGCCUCGACUGAAGAUGGUCGUCUCACUGGAUUUAAGUCUAAUGGAACAGCUGGAGUUGUAACAUCUGUCCUGAUAUUGAUCAUGAAGUAUUGAUCAGAAUACUUACGGUCAGCAGUCAUCCCUGAAGUUUUACAUUAAAAUCUUUACUUGUGUUGUGAACUUUGGUAAGAAGCAGAAACUUUAGCAUUGCCAUGGAUACAUGGGUGUUAAAUUCUGUCCAUGUUUCCAUUUUGGGAAAUUCAGUCCAGCAGAUGAGUUUGUUUUUACUGCCAGCUACCAUUCAGUCUGAGAUAUUAAGAAUAAAUAAAUG